rnacentral:rRNA from 1 species
ACGAAGGGGGCUAGCGUUGUUCGGAAUCACUGGGCGUAAAGGGUGCGUAGGCGGGAUCUUAAGUCAGGGGUGAAAUCCCGAGGCUCAACCUCGGAACUGCCUUUGAUACUGGGGUCCUUGAGUCCGGAAGAGGUGAGUGGAACUGCGAGUGUAGAGGUGAAAUUCGUAGAUAUUCGCAAGAACACCGGUGGCGAAGGCGGCUCACUGGUCCGGAACUGACGCUGAGGCACGACAGCGUGGGGAGCAAACAGG